rnacentral:rRNA from 1 species
GACGAACGCUGGCGGCGUGCUUAACACAUGCCAGUCGAACGGAAAGGCCCUGCUUUUGUGGGGUGCUCGAGUGGCGAACGGGUGAGUAACACGUGAGUAACCUGCCCUUGACUUUGGGAUAACUUCAGGAAACUGGGGCUAAUACCGGAUAGGAGCUCCUGCUGCAUGGUGGGGGUUGGAAAGUUUCGGCGGUUGGGGAUGGACUCGCGGCUUAUCAGCUUGUGGGUGGGGUAGUGGCUUACCAAGGCUUUGACGGGUAGCCGGCCUGAGAGGGUGACCGGCCACAUUGGGACUGAGAUACGGCCCAGCCUCCUACGGGAGGCAGCAGUGGGGAAUAUUGCACAAUGGGCGGAAGCCUGAUGCAGCAACGCCGCGUGCGGGAUGACGGCCUUCGGGUUGUAAACCGCUUUCGCCUGUGACGAAGCGUGAGUGACGGUAAUGGGUAAAGAAGCACCGGCUAACUACGUG